rnacentral:rRNA from 1 species
UACGUAGGGGGCGAGCGUUGUCCGGAUUUACUGGGCGUAAAGCGCGUGUAGGCGGUCUGUCAAGUCCGGGGUGAAAGGCGGGGGCUCAACCCCCGAGCUGCGCCGGAAACUGGUAGACUUGAGUGUCGGAGAGGGGAGUGGAAUUCUCGGUGUAGCGGUGAAAUGCGUAGAGAUCGAGAGGAACACCCGUGGCGAAGGCGGCUCCCUGGCCGAACACUGACGCUGAGACGCGAAAGCGCGGGGAGCGAACGGG